UCAGUGCUAUUGGCUGCUCCAUCUUCUGUUCCAACCCUAUCGUAAAUAAGUCCAGGAACUUCUCCAUCAUCUAUGAAAUCUAAAACCAACCGAAUUAUGCAGAAAAUUUAGAGGCAAUUCAGUUAAAAGAUUGACUCCCCACAUGGAUAGCAAUUGGUGUAUACAAAGCUCAAUACUCCCAAGAUGUUUCAAUUGUCAAACAGAAAUUCCAAUACCCUCCAAACUACAUGUUCCGUCUUCCCUCCAUUUGACUCCUCCGUUACUUAGUCCCAACUCUCUUCUGUCCAAAAUCCUUUCAAAGCUUUCAAAUCAUCUUCUUUGGCACUCAUUUCUUUUUACCCUCUUUUUUCCUUCAUUGUUCUUAAAGUAGUUUAGAUUAUAAAUGGUUCAAAUUGUGGGUAUUUGAUAUUGCAACAAGCUUAUUUCAAAUGUGCAUAUGAGUGCUUUGACAGAAGAAUAAAGCUUCAGGAGAUAAGGAAGCAUUGAAAUCUCCGUGUUCUUCAAGCUCAGAAACGUAUUGAAUGUGAAAUGGCCAAGUUUGUUUUCUCUCACCUCCGCAUGUCAUCUUCAAGAUCAGUCGGUGUGGCAAUACAUGAAGUUACAAUGGUGCAUUUAUGCUUUUAAUGCACUAAAAGAAAUGCUGGAGUUUGAAAUCUGACGUCUAUAUGUUGACGGCAUGAACAAAUGCUGGAGUUUUGGGUAGUUUCUUGAGACAAGAUACCAUAUCUGUGUGUUCAAAGAAUUUGAUGAGAAUGCCUGGAGAAUUAUUACAGUUUUUGACCAUGUAUACUUGCAUAGAUUAUACUUUUUCUGGGCACCGUCAUGCAACGCGUGAGGUCCAAAUAAACUAGUUCACAUCUAAUUGGAGGUAGAACAGAUUAAUAUCUUUUUUUCCUUGCAAGAUCUUACAUGAUUUUCCUUAGAA